UUGCAGUUAAAAAGCUCGUAGUUGGAUUUUUAAGGGUGUUCGCUUCUAGUGUCCUUUUAUGUGAUACUAAAGUUGCGAACUCCCCUUAUUUUGCCUCAGUGCCUGGUUGAGAUUCACUUCUUGAUCAAGCUUCCGGGGCGUGUUUACUUUGAGAAAAUUAGAGUGUUCAAAACAGUCUUGUGAUUGUAUAUCAUAGCAUGGAAUAAUAACUGAUGACCUCGGUCAUUUUUUGUUGGUUCGGAUGGCUGAAGUAAUGAUUGAUAGAGUUAGUCGGAGGUGCUAGUAUUUUAUCGUUAGAGGUGAAAUUCAUGGAUCGGUAAAAGACUGACAACUGCGAAAGCAUUCAUCUAGGAUUUGCUCUUUGAUCAAGAACGAAAGUUGGGGGAUCGAAGACGAUCAGAUACCGUCGUAGUCUCAACUAUAAACUAUACCAGCUAGGGAUUGGUAAGCGUUGCUUGACCUUAUCAGAACCUUAUGAGAAAUCAAAGCAUUUGGGUUCCGGGGGGAGUAUGGUC
rnacentral:rRNA from 1 species